rnacentral:ribozyme from 1 species
AAAAAAAAAGAAGAAAAAAAAAAGACCGGAAAAUAUACAGUACAUAAUAUCUCGUCAUUGAUAUUUUUUAUUCUUUUACUUCAUGACAAUUUGUUUUUACUU